GAUGGUUUAUAAUGAUGGUUGCAGUGACAAUGAUUGAUGUUAAUAAUUAGUAAUAUUGGUGGUGAUAGUUUUGACGGUUGGUAUUGUAGUGAUUGUUAUGAUGGUGGCGGUUGAUAGUAGUGGUGGUGGUGGUGAUGUGACGUUGCUUGAUGUUAGUAGUUGGAGGUGUUGAUUGUGAUGGCUGAAAAAGGAAUGUAUGAUGGUUUGACAAUGUGUUGGUGCUAGUUGGAGAUGUUGUUAAUUGUGAUGGUGGAGAUGGUUGUUAGUAAAGAUGGUUGAAGUGAUAGUAGAAGUGAUGUUACUAGUGACAAUUGUGGUGGCGGCCAAAGAAUGUGUGGAGGUUAUGAUGUAUUAGUGGUAUUUAGCGGUGGUGCUAAUUGUGAUAAAUGAGUUGGUCGAUAGUAGAGAUUGACCGAUAAUGGUUGAUGAUGGUGGUGCUGUUGACGGCGGUGGUGGCGGUAAAUAUAAGUAGAGUAAUAGAGGUAGUAGGUGUGGUAGCGGUUGAUAAUAGUGGUUGGUAGUGAUAUUAGUUGUCGAUAGUGGUUGUGAUGGUGGAGGUGGUUAGUAGUGGUGGUGGUGGUUAACAAUAGUGGCGGUGGCAGAGUUGGUUAGUGAUGGUGAUUGAUGAUUAUGAAUAAAGUGAUGGUGAAUAUUAUCCAACACCAAAAUUCCUCUUCAGACCUGUUAAGACUUGAUUCU
rnacentral:lncRNA from 1 species